GCAGCUGAUGACAGUUUGAAAGAAGGAUGAGCAGGCUCUCUGCCAUCUGCCCACCAACUUUUCAAGUUACUUUUACCCACCUUCAAAAUUACAUCUGCUUUUAGCAAGAAUUACUGAUGUGAUAAAGAUGGGAGUGUUCACCAUGCAAGGGCAGGGGAUCCCCUGCUGCUCCACCAUCAGAUUUGGGACACCACCCCCCCCCCGGCCCCACCAGAGGGCAUCAGCUAUGCCUAGCAAUUACGCCCCCGUGGCUAAAUUAAACUCCCAUUGGCUAAAUUAGGCUCGAAGAGAGGGGCACCUGCUGCUAAGCUGUGUAUGUUGUCCCCUAGGACUCCCACCGUUUGCUGAGCUCCACAUGACAACAGCAGACGACAGGCCGCACUGAUCCCACCUGGCUUACAGGUGCUGUCACACAGGCUCCCUUGCUCCUUCAUUCAACCAUUGUUUACAUGUCGUUCAGGACUGCUGACUAAACACUUUCAAGCACAGUGGACCCUUGAACAACGCAGGUUCAAACUGUGCAGGUCCACCCACAGGGAUGUUUUUCAAUCAGAGUUAUACCAAGUGUCCCUGCCUCUCCUGCCUCCCUUCCCACUUCCUCCAUGUCUUCCUCUCUGCCACCCUGAGGCAGCAAGACCAGCCCCUCCUCCUCAGCCACUCAACAUGAAGACAACGAGGAUGAAGACUUCUAUGAUAAUCCACUUCCACUUAGUAAAUGCUUUCUCUUAUGAUAUUCUUAAUGACAUUUUAUUUUCCCAAGCUUAGUUUAUUG
rnacentral:lncRNA from 1 species